rnacentral:rRNA from 1 species
AUACGGAGGGUGCAAGCGUUAAUCGGAAUUACUGGGCGUAAAGCGUACGUAGGCGGUUCGUUAAGUUAGAUGUGAAAGCCCCGGGCUUAACCUGGGAACUGCAUUUAAAACUGGCGAACUAGAGUUGAGUAGAGGGGAGUGGAAUUUCAGGUGUAGCGGUGAAAUGCGUAGAGAUCUGAAGGAACACCAGUGGCGAAGGCGACUCCCUGGGCUCGAACUGACGCUGAGGUACGAAAGCGUGGGUAGCAAACGGGAUUAGAAACCCGAGUAGUCC